CGCUAAACUUAUAUAAGUAGGUGGUAUGAAAUCUGAGACUAUAGAAUCAUUGUAUGCACCCGUUGAAGGCUAUAGACUGAUAGUCGAAAGCUUUUAUAAUAAAUAUUAAGUCAGAGAACGUUCAAUAGAUGUUUUAACCUGGCUACGCAUCCUCUAUUUUUUCAAAACAAAUCUGAUUAAAUAGACCACUUUGGCGGUUUUGUGUUAAGUGGAAACACGUGCUCGCGAAAUCGGAAACUCGGACAAACAUGACGGAGUGUAAUACAAAUGCUAUUCAAAAUCAAAAUACACAAAUG